UAGACUCCUGCCCCUGCCACGAGAACACACCCUUUCCAGUUUGCUGGAGAAAUAUAAGAGAAGUCCAGUGAAAGAGAGCUGAGUUUCCCCAAUGAUGCCAUCAAGAUGAACUAACUACAGUUAACCAGCCAGCUGAUAGCAGAUGCAUGAGUGAGCCCAGCUGAGAGCAGGUUGUGCAAGCAUGGCACGUGCAUCUGUUUGGCUUGUGGUGAGGCCUCAGGAAGCUUACAGUCAUGGUGGAAGGCAAAGAGGGAGCCAGUACAUCACGUGAACUCGUAGAGUGAGAACUCAUUCACUACCAUGAAGACAACACCAAGCCAUUCCUGAGAGGUGAAACUGAAAUUGGCUGUAUCAUCUGAAACUUCAUCUGUGAAGUCCCUGGUGGUUUCCUAGAUGACUACACAGUUGAGUUGCCUCUGAUUGGAAAAGCAGUGUUUUGGUUUUUCAGUUUGUACAAGAGGAAGAAGACGCAUGAUAUGUGUUUGGCUCAUGUGCCUGAAUAUGGCUCCACAGGGAAGACUUGAUACAGCUGAAGCUAUUGCUUUUUAGAGACUUUUUAUUUUGAGCAGCUGCCUUAACAGCCUUCGUCUUGUUACAUCACAUGAGAUAUAUCUCUGGAAUAGGAAGAGAAAAAAGACAUGACUGAGCAAUAAUUUUUGACUAAAAC
rnacentral:lncRNA from 10 species